UACGGAGGAUGCGAGCGUUAUCCGGAUUUAUUGGGUUUAAAGGGUGCGCAGGCGGUCUGUUAAGUCAGCGGUAAAAUCGAGGGGCUCAACCCCUUUAAGCCGUUGAAACUGGUGAUCUUGAGUGGGCGAGAAGUAUGCGGAAUGCGUGGUGUAGCGGUGAAAUGCAUAGAUAUCACGCAGAACUCCGAUUGCGAAGGCAGCAUGCCGGCUCCACACUGACGCUGAGGCACGAAAGCGUGGGUAUCGAACAGG
rnacentral:rRNA from 1 species